rfam:Ipomoea nil DNA, scaffold: scaffold3056, cultivar: Tokyo-kokei standard.
UGGGUGGUGGCGCAGUUGGCUAGCGCGUAUGUCUCAUAGCUUUUGAGUGAUCCUGAGGUCGAGAGUUUGAGCCUCUCUCACCCCA